rnacentral:tRNA from 1 species
UGGAUCACCUCCUAACAGGGAGACAACAAAAUGUUUAAUAUUAAUUUUGUCACCUUAGGUCGAUCGGUAUCUCACAUUCUUAAUUUAUUAAGGAUUUUAUUUCCUAAGUUUUUUCUAGGUCACACCCAUUAUUUUUCCUGGGCCAUUAGCUCAGGUGGUUAGAGCGCACCCCUGAUAAGGGUGAGGUCCCUGGUUCAAGUCCAGGAUGGCCCAUAUCUCUAUGUUGGGGGUAUAGCUCAGUUGGUAGAGCGCCUGCUUUGCAAGCAGGAUGUCAGCGGUUCGAGUCCGCUUACCUCCACUGAUUACCACCUCUUCCAUAAUUUAUAGAAGGAAAAUUUCUUGAGGUGUGAUCAAUUUCUGAACGAAUCUAGCUUCCUAAUAUAUUUUAUUAAGAUGCUGGACUCAUUGAAUUAAUUUCAUUGUUUUCAGAGAACCUUGACAACUGCAUAGAUUAUUUUUAAAGACAAUAAGCAUCUUUAAUGAUGCAGAUUUAUUAUUUGUGCAAAUGCAUUAAUAACAAUUCUAUUAAGCUGAUGCUUCAAUUUUUUGAAGUUAUUGGUCAAGCUACAAAGGGCUCACGGAGGAUACCUAGGCACACAGAGGCGAUGAAGG